GCGAACAGGAUUAGAUACCCUGGUAGUCCACGCCGUAAACGAUGUCGACUUGGAGGUUGUUCCCUUGAGGAGUGGCUUCCGGAGCUAACGCGUUAAGUCGACCGCCUGGGGAGUACGGCCGCAAGGUUAAAACUCAAAUGAAUUGACGGGGGCCCGCACAAGCGGUGGAGCAUGUGGUUUAAUUCGAUGCAACGCGAAGAACCUUACCUACUCUUGACAUCCAGAGAACUUAGCAGAGAUGCUUUGGUGCCUUCGGGAACUCUGAGACAGGUGCUGCACGGCUGUCGUCAGCUCGUGUUGUGAAAUGUUGGGUUAAGUCCCGCAACGAGCGCAACCCUUAUCCUUUGUUGCCAGCGGUUAGGCCGGGAACUCAAAGGAGACUGCCAGUGAUAAACUGGAGGAAGGUGGGGAUGACGUCAAGUCAUCAUGGCCCUUACGAGUAGGGCUACACACGUGCUACAAUGGCGCAUACAAAGAGAAGCGACCUCGCGAGAGCAAGCGGACCUCAUAAAGUGCGUCGUAGUCCGGAUUGGAGUCUGCAACUCGACUCCAUGAAGUCGGAAUCGCUAGUAAUCGUAGAUCAGAAUGCUACGGUGAAUACGUUCCCGGGCCUUGUACACACCGCCCGUCACACCAUGGGAGUGGGUUGCAAAAGAAGUAGGUAGCUUAACCUUCGGGAGGGCGCUUACCACUUUGUGAUUCAUGACUG
rnacentral:rRNA from 1 species